AUUUCAUACUCCAUGAAAGUAUUGCUCAACAAAUAAACCCAGCCCCCACACAACCCUAAAACUAAAGCUCCCUCUUCACUCUCAGCGCCGCCAUUGCUGGCUUAGCUACACAGCCUACACCCCCACAUUCUCAGUUCACACCAAAAUUGAAGAUCUGUCUCACUCGGGUACAACCGAGUAACCGACAACCAACCGACUUCUCUGUAAUCAACCACGGAUUCAUAAUCUUUUUCAAAUUCGGUGAGAGAGAAAGAAGAAAAGGAACUUUGGUAGUCUUUAUUAGCUGGUUUUAGUUGUUGCGAUUUCAAAGGUUAGCCAUGUCUCCUCAAUCAUCAGGUUUGAUUCUUGCAAAAUGAGAAGCUAAUGGGAAUGGGUGGUUUGGGCAAAGAGUUUUGGAUGGAGGCAUAAUGUGUUUGGAGGAGGAGGAGGAGCAUCUCUGCAGUCUCUCUCUGCAUAUGAUAAAGCACAGCCCCAAUGGAAGGCAUGUGGUUCUCAUGGCCAAUGGUCAAUACGAAAUACAUUCAUUUCCAGAUUGGGUGAAGACAUCGUCCGGGGCAGUGCUAGAUUUUAUCUAGUCUUCAGGUAGAGAGUAUGCUGUUAUAGAAAGUUCUCCCAUGAUCAAAAUCUUCAAUCAGUUUUUUCAGGAAAAGAGAGCAACAAGAUAUAGAGAAUUCAAAAGUGAAGACAACGAAGUAAUAGCCAGUAAACUCAUUAAAAGACUUUUUGGUGGGCCUUUGCUCACAAUAUGUGAGAAAUUCCAAGUACAUUUCCAUGAUUGGGAUAAAAACCAGCUGAUACGGACUUUUCAUGACAAAGUCAAAGCAAUAUAUUGGUCUGAAUCCAAGAAGCAGGUUGUCUAUGCAUGCGCUUCACAUUUUGUGCUCCUAAAGUAUGAUGAUAACAGGUUUCAAUUGGGUUGAAUAACCUUACUUGGUAGUGAAUGGUAGUUGGUUGAGAUGAAAGAAAGAAGUAUUCAUCAGAGUAGUAGCCACCUAUGUUACAUGACUCGGGUACAUGUGUCAAGGUGCAAGUAUAUAUAUCAACGAGUGGAUUUGUCAAAUCCCUAAACAAGAAGACACAUGGACACCGCAAAAUAUUUAUAUUAUUGUAUUUAAUAUUUUUACCAUAGUUUCUCCGUGAAAUAAUGUCUUUAUGUAACGUGGUGUGUAAUAUUGGCAUUUCUUUCAUUUUGAAGCAAUAAUAUAUAUAUAUAUAUAUAUAUAUAUAUAUAUAUAUAUAUAAGAAUUAUUGGACAGGAUUAUGUGCAUGUCCAACCAAAAGUGUCAGAAUGUAUCCCAUAUGCAUGAUCGAGUAAUGAGUAAUGUGUGCUGGACACUGAUACUUUUCUAAUAUUAGAGUCCAUGUAUCAUAGGUAGCCGCUAGCACUUGCUAGAGAUAUGGAAAUUAUCAAAUGGAUUAAAAAAAUAAAACUCAAAUAAAUAUAUAUUUUAGUAAAUGAUAAUAUGUCUGUGGCUAUAAAUAAACAUAGUGAGAUCAGCCAUUGGCCUUGGUGGGAUAGGGUUCAAGCCCAUAGUGGGCAUCUGUGGAUGUGUGUUUACCUAACCGGAAAAAAAGAAAAAAGAAAAAAAAAAAUUAUAGUGAGGUCAAAUUAGUAACUAACUAAAAGUGCGUGUUACUUCGUCAGGGAAAAGGACUUAAGUAAAUAAAAAAUUUACUUGUCAAAAAAAAAAAAAAAAAAAAAAAGAAAAAGAAGAAGAAGAGAA